rnacentral:rRNA from 1 species
UACGGGGGGGGCAAGCGUUGUUCGGAAUUACUGGGCGUAAAGGGCGCGUAGGCGGCCUACUAAGUCGGACGUGAAAUCCCUCGGCUCAACCGGGGAACUGCGUCCGAUACUGGUCGACUCGAAGGCAGGAGAGGGAAGCGGAAUUCCCGGUGUAGUGGUGAAAUGCGUAGAUAUCGGGAGGAACACCAGUGGCGAAGGCGGCUCCUGGCCUGUUCUUGACGCUGAGGCGCGAAAGCUAGGGGAGCAAACGGG